rnacentral:rRNA from 1 species
AUGACAUCCGCUAUCUUUGGCCCCAGAAGCUCCAACCUUGGACAAGACAUGUUGGUGAAGCUGAAGGCGACUUACACCUUGGUGGAACAGCUAUAUACCGGCACUCAGCAAACCAUAACAGCCAUCUCACACAAAAAGCAGCCACCAUCACUCAUCAGAGAAGUCUUGGACAAAUUAUCUGUGAUGCUGAAAAGAAUAGAAGAGAUUAAACGAUCAUCCGCCCGAGCUGGUGCCAUCACAGCUUUGAGCCGGGACAAAGCAUGGCAAGCAGAAUUAGACCCGGCGGAAAUGGCCACCGGUUGCCCAAACUUUAAGGAGGAUGGAUCGCCUUUUGAAGAAGAAGAUUUCACCAAGUGCGUGAAAGAAAUGCGACCUUUGACGAGCAAAUUGGCAGAAGAGACUGAUUUGUCCAAUAUCAGGCAGCUUAUACAAUGGAAAAUUCAAGAGUGA